GAGGAAAAGAAAUCAACCGAGAUUCCCCCAGUAGCGGCGAGCGAACGGGGAGGAGCCCAGAGCCUGAAUCAGUGUGUGUGUUAGUGGAAGCGUCUGGAAAGGCGCGCGAUACAGGGUGACAGCCCCGUACACAAAAAUACACAUAUUGUGAGCUCGAUGAGUAGGGCGGGACACGUGGUAUCCUGUCUGAAUAUGGGGGGACCAUCCUCCAAGGCUAAAUACUCCUGACUGACCGAUAGUGAACCAGUACCGUGAGGGAAAGGCGAAAAGAACCCCGGCGAGGGGAGUGAAAAAGAACCUGAAACCGUGUACGUACAAGCAGUGGGAGCACGCUUAGGCGUGUGACUGCGUACCUUUUGUAUAAUGGGUCAGCGACUUAUAUUCUGUAGCAAGGUUAACCGAAUAGGGGAGCCGAAGGGAAACCGAGUCUUAACUGGGCGUUAAGUUGCAGGGUAUAGACCCGAAACCCGGUGAUCUAGCCAUGGGCAGGUUGAAGGUUGGGUAACACUAACUGGAGGACCGAACCGACUAAUGUUGAAAAAUUAGCGGAUGACUUGUGGCUGGGGGUGAAAGGCCAAUCAAACCGGGAGAUAGCUGGUUCUCCCCGAAAGCUAUUUAGGUAGCGCCUCGUGAAUUCAUCUCCGGGGGUAGAGCACUGUUUCGGCAAGGGGGUCAUCCCGACUUACCAACC
rnacentral:rRNA from 1 species